AUUGAACGCUGGCGGCAUGCUUUACACAUGCAAGUCGAACGGUAACAGGCCGCAAGGUGCUGACGAGUGGCGAACGGGUGAGUAAUGCAUCGGAACGUGCCCAGUCGUGGGGGAUAACGCAGCGAAAGCUGCGCUAAUACCGCAUACGAUCUAUGGAUGAAAGCGGGGGACCGUAAGGCCUCGCGCGAUUGGAGCGGCCGAUGUCAGAUUAGGUAGUUGGUGGGGUAAAGGCUCACCAAGCCAACGAUCUGUAGCUGGUCUGAGAGGACGACCAGCCACAGUGGGACUGAGACACGGCCCAGACUCCUACGGGAGGCAGCAGUGGGGAAUUUUGGACAAUGGGCGCAAGCCUGAUCCAGCAAUGCCGCGUGCAGGAAGAAGGCCUUCGGGUUGUAAACUGCUUUUGUACGGAACGAAACGGUCCUGGUUAAUACCUAGGGCUAAUGACGGUACCGUAAGAAUAAGCACCGGCUAACUACGUGCCAGCCGCCGCCGUAAAAC
rnacentral:rRNA from 1 species